rnacentral:rRNA from 1 species
UUAAAUUGAAGAGUUUGAUCAUGGCUCAGAUUGAACGCUGGCGGCAGGCCUAACACAUGCAAGUCGAGCGGUAGCACAGAGAGCUUGCUCUCGGGUG